AAAGGGAGACCUAAUUCAGGUAGGAGACGAAAAAAAAGUAGUCCCUACCAAGAAUCAAUCCCAAAAGGUCGGAGCGAGGCGAGAUUGGCUUUCAAACUAGGUUCUGGGUUCACACAAGACCUGAAUCAGGAACAAGGGCUAUUAGCUCAGGUGGUUAGAGCGCACCCCUGAUAAGGGUGAGGUCCCUGGUUCGAGUCCAGGAUGGCCCACCUGUACAGGUGGCAAAAAGAAAGAAAAGAAGCGAGGAAUCAGCACCUUAUCUUACUUAUAUAGUAAGAGAGAAUGCUGGCUCUGAGUUCAGAGUCCAGAGGAACCUUGAAAACUGCAUAGAGCUAGGUGAAAAAGCCAAAAAAGAAGACCGCAAG
rnacentral:tRNA from 1 species